AACGAACGCUGGCGGCAUGCCUAACACAUGCAAGUCGAACGAGACCUUCGGGUCUAGUGGCGCACGGGUGCGUAACGCGUGGGCACCUGCCCUUAGGUUCGGAAUAACUCCCCGAAAGGGGUGCUAAUACCGGAUAAUGUCUUCGGACCAAAGAUUUAUCGCCUUUGGAUGGGCCCGCGUUGGAUUAGCUAGUUGGUAGGGUAAAAGCCUACCAAGGCGACGAUCCAUAGCUGGUCUGAGAGGAUGAUCAGCCACACUGGGACUGAGACACGGCCCAGACUCCUACGGGAGGCAGCAGUGGGGAAUAUUGGACAAUGGGCGAAAGCCUGAUCCAGCAAUGCCGCGUGAGUGAUGAAGGCCUUAGGGUUGUAAAGCUCUUUUACCCGGGAUGAUAAUGACAGUACCGGGAGAAUAAGCUCCGGCUAACUCCGUG
rnacentral:rRNA from 1 species